CGGUUCAUCUCCUGGAGCCUUCGAUCCAGGAAAUCCUCUCGACUGUGAGUCUCAAGGGUCUUCUGGCAGAAUGGAGGUAGAGAUCUUUCAGGAGUAGAAUCAUGAUCUGAUUAAGGGCUCUCCACCCUCAGAUUCAUCUUUCCAGGAAAGAUGGGGCGAUUGGCCCAAGUGGCCCAUCCUACUGCCAGAUUUUGGAGUUCCGAUGAUGUUCUCUCCGAUCGUACUAUGCCUGCGGCUGUUGCUGCUACUACUGCAUGGCCUGCACUGCUUCAGUGAGGCCUCUGACCUGCUGAACUAGUAGGUCGAAUUGCUCCAUCCCAACCAUCGUUGCCAGAGGAGGAGGAGGAACCUGGGAAACUGGAGGUGAGGUCGGAGCCUGAGAUCUGGCCGCGGAGGCCGUGG
rnacentral:lncRNA from 1 species